GAUGAAGAACGCAGCGAAACGCGAUAUGUAAUGUGAAUUGCAGAAUUCAGUGAAUCAUCGAAUCUUUUAACGCACAUGGCGCCUUCCAGUAUCCUGGGAGGCAUGCCUGUCCGAGCGUCGUUUCAACCCUCGAGCCCUCGUGGCCCGGCGUUGGGGAUCUGCCACGGCAGGCCCCGAAAUACAGUGGCGGACCCGUUAGGCCCUUCCUUUGCGUAGUAGCAUCAGCCUCGCAUCGGGAGCCGGCGGGCUCUCCUGCCUCUAAACCCCCCAACAAGCCCGCUCCGGCGGCACCAAGGUUGACCUCGGAUCAGGUAGGAAUACCCGCUGAACUUAAGCAUAUCAAUAAGCGGAGGA
rnacentral:misc_RNA from 1 species